rnacentral:rRNA from 1 species
UAGGGAAUCUUCCACAAUGGGCGAAAGCCUGAUGGAGCAACGCCGCGUGUGUGAUGAAGGGUUUCGGCUCGUAAAACACUGUUGUAAGAGAAGAAUGACAUUGAGAGUAACUGUUCAAUGUGUGACGGUAUCUUAUCAGAAAGGAACGGCUAAAUACGUGCCAG